rnacentral:rRNA from 1 species
ACGGAGGGUGCGAGCGUUAUUCGGAAUUACUGGGCGUAAAGCGCGUGCAGGCGGGGAGGCAAGUCUGAUGUGAAAGCCCUGGGCUUAACCCGGGAAGUGCAUUGGAAACUGUCUUUCUUGAGUACUGGAGAGGAAGGGGGAAUUCCCGGUGGAGUGGCGUUACUCGUUGGGAGCGGGAGCAGUGCCACGGGCGAGGGGGGAGCAAAAAAGGGUAGAUACCCCUGAGGCGGCUAUCCGUCUGGAGGGUAUAG